rnacentral:rRNA from 1 species
UAAAAACCCCGACUUCGGAAGGGGUGUAUUUAUUAGAUACAAAACCAAUGCCCUUCGGGGCUCUUUGGUGAUUCAUGAUAACUAUACGAAUCGCACGGCCUUGCGCCGGCGAUGGUUCAUUCAAAUUUCUUCCCUAUCAGCUUUCGAUGUUUGGGUAUUGGCCAAACAUGGUUGCAACGGGUAACGGAGGGUUAGGGCUCGACCCCGGAGAAGGAGCCUGAGAAACGGCUACUACAUCCAAGGAAGGCAGCAGGCGCGCAAAUUACCCAAUCCCGACUCGGGGAGGUAGUGACAAUAAAUACUGAUACAGGGCCCUUUCGGGCCUUGUAAUUGGAAUGAGUACAAUUUAAAUCCCUUAACGAGGAACAAUUGGAGGGCAAGUCUGGUGCCAGCAGCCGCGGUAAUUCCAGCUCCAAUAGCGUAUAUUAAAGUUGUUGUGGUUAAAAAGCUCGUAGUCGAACCUUGGGCCUGGCUGGCCGGUCCGCCUCACCGCGUGCACUGGUCCGGCCGGGCCUUUCCCUCUGUGGAACCCCAUACCCUUCACUGGGCGUGGCGGGGAAACAGGACAUUUACUUU